rnacentral:misc_RNA from 1 species
UCCGAGUUGACCCCGGCAGUCUCGUAUGAGUCCCCACCAUUACGUGCUGGCAACAUACGACGAGGGUUGCGCUCGUUGCGGGACUUAACCCAACAUCUCACGACACGAGCUGACGACAACCAUGCACCACCUGUAUACGAGUGUCCAAAGAGUUCUACAUUUCUGCAGCGUUCUCGUACAUGUCAAGCCUUGGUAAGGUUCUUCGCGUUGCAUCGAAUUAAUCCGCAUGCUCCGCCGCUUGUGCGGGCCCCCGUCAAUUCCUUUGAGUUUUAGCCUUGCGGCCGUACUCCCCAGGCGGGGCGCUUAAUGCGUUAGCUGCGGCACAGGAAACCGGAGAGGUCCCCCACACCUAGUUCCCAACGUUUACGGCAUGGACUAC